rnacentral:rRNA from 1 species
CUAAAUGCGGAAGAGAUAAGUGCUGAAAGCAUCUAAGCACGAAACUUGCCCCGAGAUGAGUUCUCCCUGACUCCUUGAGAGUCCUGAAGGAACGUUGAAGACGACGACGUUGAUAGGCCGGAUGUGUAAGCGCAGCGAUGCGUUGAGCUAACCGGUACUAAUGAACCGUGAGGCUUAACCUUACAACGCCGAAGGUGUUU